GAUGAACGCUGGCGGCGUGCCUAGUUCAUGCAAGUCGAGCGAACGGACGAGAAGCUUGCUUCUCUGAUGUUAGCGGCGGACGGGUGAGUAACACGUGGAUAACCUACCUAUAAGACUGGGAUAACUUCGGGAAACCGGAGCUAAUACCGGAUAAUAUUUUGAACCGCAUGGUUCAAAAGUGAAAGACGGUCUUGCUGUCACUUAUAGAUGGAUCCGCGCUGCAUUAGCUAGUUGGUAAGGUAACGGCUUACCAAGGCAACGAUGCAUAGCCGACCUGAGAGGGUGAUCGGCCACACUGGAACUGAGACACGGUCCAGACUCCUACGGGAGGCAGCAGUAGGGAAUCUUCCGCAAAGGGCGAAAGCCUGACGGAGCAACGCCGCGUGAGUGAUGAAGGUCUUCGGAUCGUAAAACUCUGUUAUUAGGGAAGAACAUAUGUGUAAGUAACUGUGCACAUCUUGACGGUACCUAAUCAGAAAGCCACGGCUAACUACGUG
rnacentral:rRNA from 1 species